AAAGCGUGGCCUAUCGAUCCUU
rnacentral:siRNA from 1 species